UACGGAGGGGACUAGCGUUGUUCGGAAUUACUGGGCGUAAAGCGCACGUAGGCGGAUUUGUAAGUCAGGGGUGAAAUCCCGGGGCUCAACCUCGGGACUGCCUUUGAUACUGCAAAUCUCGAGUCCGGAAGAGGUGAGUGGAAUUCCUAGUGUAGAGGUGAAAUUCGUAGAUAUUAGGAAGAACACCAGUGGCGAAGGCGGCUCACUGGUCCGGUACUGACGCUGAGGUGCGAAAGCGUGGGGAGCAAACAGG
rnacentral:rRNA from 1 species